AUUGAACGCUGGCGGCAGGCCUAACACAUGCAAGUCGAACGGUAGCACAGAGAGCUUGCUCUCGGGUGACGAGUGGCGGACGGGUGAGUAAUGUCUGGGAAACUGCCUGAUGGAGGGGGAUAACUACUGGAAACGGUAGCUAAUACCGCAUAACGUCGCAAGACCAAAGAGGGGGACCUUCGGGCCUCUUGCCAUCAGAUGUGCCCAGAUGGGAUUGGCUAGUAGGUGGGGUAACGGCUCACCUAGGCGACGAUCCCUAGCUGGUCUGAGAGGAUGACCAGCCACACUGGAACUGAGACACGGUCCAGACUCCUACGGGAGGCAGCAGUGGGGAAUAUUGCACAAUGGGCGCAAGCCUGAUGCAGCCAUGCCGCGUGUAUGAAGAAGGCCUUCGGGUUGUAAAGUACUUUCAGCGGGGAGGAAGGUGUUGAGGUUAAUAACCUCAGCAAUUGACGUUACCCGCAGAAGAAGCACCGGCUAACUACGUGCCAGCAGCCGCCGUAAUAC
rnacentral:rRNA from 1 species